rnacentral:rRNA from 1 species
CGGACGGGUGAGUAACACGUGGAUAACCUACCUAUAAGACUGGGAUAACUUCGGGAAACCGGAGCUAAUACCGGAUAAUAUUUUGAACCGCAUGGUUCAAAAGUGAAAGACGGUCUUGCUGUCACUUAUAGAUGGAUCCGCGCUGCAUUAGCUAGUUGGUAAGGUAACGGCUUACCAAGGCAACGAUGCGUAGCCGACCUGAGAGGGUGAUCGGCCACACUGGAACUGAGACACGGUCCAGACUCCUACGGGAGGCAGCAGCC